rfam:Comamonadaceae bacterium CG2_30_59_20 cg2_3.0_scaffold_148_c, whole genome shotgun sequence.
CGACAGCGCUAGAGGUGCCGCCCGGUCGGGUGGCUGAGAAAAUACUCUUUGAACCUGAUCUGGGUCGUGCCAGCGUAGGGAAGCGUUCACAACUCACU